UACGAAGGGGGCUAGCGUUGUUCGGAAUUACUGGGCGUAAAGCGCGCGCAGGCGGCCAUUCAAGUCAGGGGUGAAAGCCCAGAGCUCAACUCUGGAACUGCCCUUGAAACUGUAUGGCUCGAGUAUGAGAGAGGUGAGUGGAAUUCCCAGUGUAGAGGUGAAAUUCGUAGAUAUUGGGAAGAACACCGGUGGCGAAGGCGGUCUGCUGGGCAGUUGCUGACACUGAGGCGCGACAGCGUGGGGAGCAAACAGG
rnacentral:rRNA from 1 species